rnacentral:lncRNA from 1 species
GGAUUAGGGGCCGAAGAGAUUCGCGCUACGGCGAGCUGGCAAGUCCUUGGUGAGUGCGCUUGACGCCAACGCUAGCUAAACUAAUAUCGACUAAUGUCUAAACAAGCGCUGUUUAAGUGUACCGCCG